rnacentral:sRNA from 1 species
UUAUGCUUUGUAACCGAUUCUCCAGAA